rnacentral:rRNA from 1 species
UGGGGAAUAUUGCACAAUGGGGGAAACCCUGAUGCAGCGACGCCGCGUGAGCGAAGAAGGCUUUCGAGUCGUAAAGCUCUGUCCUAUGAGAAGAUAAUGACGGUAUCAUAGGAGGAAGCCCCGGCUAAAUACGUGCCAGCAGCCGCGGUAAUACGUAUGGGGCGAGCGUUGUCCGGAAUUAUUGGGCGUAAAGGGUACGUAGGCGGUCUAUUAAGUCAGGUGUGAAAGCGUGAGGCUUAACCUCAUUAAGCACUUGAAACUGAUAGACUUGAGUGAAGGAGAGGAAAGUGGAAUUCCUAGUGUAGCAGUGAAAUGCGUAGAUAUUAGGAGGAAUACCGGUGGCGAAGGCGACUUUCUGGACUUUUACUGACGCUCAGGUACGAAAGCGUGGGGAGCAAACAGG